UUACAACUUUGGACAACUUAUCUUGGAAAUCUUAACAAAUGGUAAGCUGAUGAAUGCUGGCGGAUUGAUACAGAACAAGCCAAAGGAUGUUCUUCUACGAGAAAUAUACACAGAAAACGAAGUGAGUUCUAGUGCUUUUGAAGAAGAAGAAAUUAAAAGAGUUGUUGAGGUCGCACUUCUUUGCAUAAGAAGUAACCAAUCUGACCGUCCUUGCAUGGAAGAUGCACUCAGGCUCUUGUCUGAAGCAGAGAAUAGGUUUAAAUAGGUAAUAAGGUCAAUGUUAAUAUGCACAUAAUAAAAGGGAAUCCUUAUAUAUGUAUUGUAAUGUACCAAAACGUUCUCUUUCUUUCUUCUAUAGACAGGUGUGACUUCUUAGUUA
rnacentral:lncRNA from 1 species